AUUGAACGCUGGCGGAAUGCUUUACACAUGCAAGUCGAACGGCAGCACGGAGCUUGCUCCUGGUGGCGAGUGGCGAACGGGUGAGUAAUAUAUCGGAACGUAUCCAAGUAAUGGGGGAUAACUAAGCGAAAGCUUGGCUAAUACCGCAUACGCCCUGAGGGGAAAGCUAGGGAUCGUUCGGAUCUGGCGUUGAUGGAGCG
rnacentral:rRNA from 1 species